rnacentral:rRNA from 1 species
GAUCCUGGCUCAGGACGAACGCUGGCGGCGUGCCUAAUACAUGCAAGUCGAGCGGACAGAAGGGAGCUUGCUCCCGGAUGUUAGCGGCGGACGGGUGAGUAACACGUGGGUAAAACCUGCCUGUAAAAGACUGGGAUAACUCCGGGAAACCGGAGCUAAUACCGGAUAGUUCCUUGAACCGCAUGGUUCAAGGAUGAAAGACGGUUUCGGCUGUCACUUACAGAUGGACCGCGGCGCAUUAGCUAGUUGGUGAGGUAACGGCUCACCAAGGCGACGAUGCGUAGCCGACCUGAGAGGGUGAUCGGCCACACUGGGGACUGAGACACGGCCCAGACUCCUACGGGAGGCAGCAGUAGGGAAUCUUCCGCAAUGGACGAAAGUCUGACGGAGCAACGCCGCGUGAGUGAUGAAGGUUUUCGGAUCGUAAAGCUCUGUUGUUAGGGAAGAACAAGUGCAAGAGUAACUGCUUGCACCUUGACGGUACCUAACCAGAAAGCCACGGCUAACUACGUGCCAGCAGCCGCGGUAA